CACCCGGUAGCACAUUGGCGUGCAUCUGCUUCAAUUUGAAGAAAUGGGUUGAGUAUGAUACGCAGAAGACCCCCGUUCGAUUCGGGGUCGGGUGC